UGCAGUCGUACGCACUCUGGUAUUGAUUGGUGCUUGCAUCAUGAUUUACAUUUGAGUGAGUGGCGAACUGGUGAGUAACACGUGGGAAACCUGCCCAGAAGCGGGGGAUAACACCUGGAAACAGAUGCUAAUACCGCAUAACAACUUGGACCGCAUGGUCCGAGCUUGAAAGAUGGCUUCGGCUAUCACUUUUGGAUGGUCCCGCGGCGUAUUAGCUAGAUGGUGGGGUAACGGCUCACCAUGGCAAUGAUACGUAGCCGACCUGAGAGGGUAAUCGGCCACAUUGGGACUGAGACACGGCCCAAACUCCUACGGGAGGCAGCAGUAGGGAAUCUUCCACAAUGGACGAAAGUCUGAUGGAGCAACGCCGCGUGAGUGAAGAAGGGUUUCGGCUCGUAAAACUCUGUUGUUAAAGAAGAACAUAUCUGAGAGUAACUGUUCAGGUAUUGACGGUAUUUAACCAGAAAGCCACGGCUAACUACGUGCCAGCAGCCGCGGUAAUACGUAGGUGGCAAGCGUUGUCCGGAUUUAUUGGGCGUAAAGCGAGCGCAGGCGGUUUUUUAAGUCUGAUGUGAAAGCCUUCGGCUCAACCGAAGAAGUGCAUCGGAAACUGGGAAACUUGAGUGCAGAAGAGGACAGUGGAACUCCAUGUGUAGCGGUGAAAUGCGUAGAUAUAUGGAAGAACACCAGUGGCGAAGGCGGCUGUCUGGUCUGUAACUGACGCUGAGGCUCGAAAGUAUGGGUAGCAAACAGGAUUAGAUACCCUGGUAGUCCAUACCGUAAACGAUGAAUGCUAAGUGUUGGAGGGUUUCCGCCCUUCAGUGCUGCAGCUAACGCAUUAAGCAUUCCGCCUGGGGAGUACGGCCGCAAGGCUGAAACUCAAAGGAAUUGACGGGGGCCCGCACAAGCGGUGGAGCAUGUGGUUUAAUUCGAAGCUACGCGAAGAACCUUACCAGGUCUUGACAUACUAUGCAAAUCUAAGAGAUUAGACGUUCCCUUCGGGGACAUGGAUACAGGUGGUGCAUGGUUGUCGUCAGCUCGUGUCGUGAGAUGUUGGGUUAAGUCCCGCAACGAGCGCAACCCUUAUUAUCAGUUGCCAGCAUUAAGUUGGGCACUCUGGUGAGACUGCCGGUGACAAACCGGAGGAAGGUGGGGAUGACGUCAAAUCAUCAUGCCCCUUAUGACCUGGGCUACACACGUGCUACAAUGGAUGGUACAACGAGUUGCGAACUCGCGAGAGUAAGCUAAUCUCUUAAAGCCAUUCUCAGUUCGGAUUGUAGGCUGCAACUCGCCUACAUGAAGUCGGAAUCGCUAGUAAUCGCGGAUCAGCAUGCCGCGGUGAAUACGUUCCCGGGCCUUGUACACACCGCCCGUCACACCAUGAGAGUUUGUAACACCCAAAGUCGGUGGG
rnacentral:rRNA from 2 species